AUUGAACGCUGGCGGAAUGCUUUACACAUGCAAGUCGAGCGGCAGCGCGGCCUUCGGGCUGGCGGCGAGCGGCGAACGGUUGAGUAAUGCAUCGGAACAUGCCCAGUCGUGGGGGAUAACACUUCGAAAGAAGUGCUAAUACCGCAUACGUCCUGAGGGGGAAAGCGGGGGAUCGCAAGACCUCGCGCGAUUGGAGUGGCCGAUGUCAGAUUAGCUAGUUGGUGGGGUAAAGGCCUACCAAGGCGACGAUCUGUAGCUGGUCUGAGAGGAUGAUCAGCCACACUGGGACUGAGACACGGCCCAGACUCCUACGGGAGGCAGCAGUGGGGAAUUUUGGACAAUGGGGGCAACCCUGAUCCAGCCAUUCCGCGUGAGUGAAGAAGGCCUUCGGGUUGUAAAGCUCUUUCGGCAGGAACGAAACGGUGGGCUCUAACAUAGUCCGCUAAUGACGGUACCUGAAGAAGAAGCACCGGCUAACUACGUG
rnacentral:rRNA from 1 species